rnacentral:rRNA from 1 species
GCGGGCCUAACACAUGCAAGUCGAACGAGAACGCUCCUUCGGGAGUUAUUAAAGUGGCGCACGGGUGAGGAACGCGUAGGUAAUCUACCCUUUGGCGGGGGACAACAUUCCGAAAGGAAUGCUAAUACCGCGUAAGACCACACUCACCACGGUGAGAGAGGUUAAAGGUGCCUCAAAGCACCACCAGAGGAUGAGCCUGCGUCCCAUCAGCUUGUUGGUAAGGUAAUGGCUUACCAAGGCUAAGACGGGUAGCUGGUCUGAGAGGAUGAUCAGCCACACUGGCACUGGAACACGGGCCAGACUCCUACGGGAGGCAGCAGUGAGGAAUAUUGGGCAAUGGGCGAAAGCCUGACCCAGCCACGCCGCGUGUGUGAUGAAGGCCUUCGGGUCGUAAAGCACUGUGGGGAGAGACGAAAAAGCGCAUCAGGAAAUGGUUGCGCCUUGACGGUACCUCCUUAGCAAGCACCGGCUAACUCUGUGCCAGCAGCCGCGGUAAUACAGAGGGUGCGAAGUUGCUCGGAUUUACUGGGCGUAAAGCGCGUGUAGGCGGACUCGCAAGUCGGUUGUGAAAUCCCUGGGCUUAACCUAGGAACUGCAUCCGAAACUUGCUUGUCUUGAGUAAUGGAAGAGGGUGGGCGGAAUUCCCGGUGG